rnacentral:rRNA from 1 species
UAAGUGCAUGUGGUGGAUGCCUUGGCGAUUACAGGCGACGAAGGACGUGAUAGCCUGCGAUAAGCUUCGGGGAGCUGGCAAAUAAGCUUUGAUCCGGAGAUUUCCGAAUGGGGAAACCCACCUCGUUUAGAGGUAUCGCAUGCUGAAUACAUAGGCAUGCGAGGCGAACCGGGCGAACUGAAACAUCUCAGUAGCUCGAGGAAAAGACAUCAACCGAGAUUCCGAAAGUAGUGGCGAGCGAAAUCGGAGUAGCCCUCGUGUUUUAGCAGUUGGCAUAUCAGAACGGAAUGGAAAGUCCGGCCAUAGCGGGUGAUAGCCCCGUAUGAGAAAUGUCGAUUGUGGAACUAGGCACGAAUAGAGUAGGGCGGGACACGUGAAAUCCUGUCUGAACAUGGGGGGACCACCCUCCAAGCCUAAGUACUCCUCAAUGACCGAUAGCGAACAAGUACCGUGAGGGAAAGAUGAAAAGACUUUUGAAAAGAGAGUAAAAUAGUACCUGAAACUGCUGAAAGGGAAGCGAUUGAAGUCAGUGUUGCUCCUGGUCUUUUUG